GUUCAAGAGUGCACUUCAUUGUGGCUCUAAACCUUUUUCAAUAUACCUUUCACCCUUUUUUAAACCCAAAGCUGUUAUGUGUGCCUUCUUGGUAUAGCAUCUCAGUAGUACGCAUCAUGUGUUAAUUCACAAGUUGCAUUACCCCCCUUUUUUAAAUUUAACACUAUAAAAAGUUUUUAGAAUGUAAACCCCCUUUAAAUUAAUAUAACUUUUAACAAUGGAUCUCUUGGCUCUCACAUCGAUGAAGAACACAGUGAAAUGUGAUAAGUAAUGUGAAUUGCAGAAUUCAGUGAAUCAUCGAAUCUUUGAACGCACCUUGCACCUUUUGGUUAUUCCGAAAGGUACACCUGUUUGAGUGUCAUGAAACCCUCUCAUUCCAAUUUUUUAUUAAGUUAAGAAGUUGAAAUGGAUGUUGGGUGUUGCCGUUAUUGGCUCACCUUAAAUAUAUAAGUACUUUUAUUGAGAAAAUAAAUGGAUAUACUUGGUGUAAUAUUUAUUAUUCAUUGAGGAGUGUGGUGCCUUAAAAACAYUACAGCCAUUUGAACUUUUGAUAGAUAGCUUCCGAACCCUAAUAUAUAUAUCAUUUAGACCUCAAAUCAGGUGGGACUACCCGCUGAACUUAAGCAUAUCAAUAAGCGGAGGAAAAGAAACUAACAAGGAUUCCCCUAGUAACGGCGAGUGAAGAGGGAAAAGCC
rnacentral:rRNA from 1 species